rnacentral:rRNA from 1 species
AAUAUUGGUCAAUGGGUGCAAGCCUGAACCAGCCAUGCCGCGUGCAGGAAGACGGCCUUCUGGGUUGUAAACUGCUUUUAACGGGGGAUAAAAAGCUCAUGCGUGAGCAAUUGAAGGUACCCGUUGAAUAAGCCACGGCUAACUACGUGCCAGCAGCCGCGGUAAUACGUAGGUGGCGAGCGUUGUCCGGAUUUAUUGGGUUUAAAGGGUGCGUAGGCGGCCUAUUAAGUCAGUUCUGAAAUAUCCCGGCUUAACCGGGAGGGUGGGAUUGAUACUGAUGGGCUUGAGUGGACUCGAGGUAGGCGGAAUUGACGGUGUAGCGGUGAAAUGCUUAGAUAUCGUCAAGAAUACCGAUAGUGUAGACAGCUUACUAGAUUCUAACUGACGCUGAGGCACGAAAGUGUGGGGAUCAAACAGGA